CUGCCCAAGGAAAAAGAGUGCAACAUGGCAACCUUGGAUGAAGGAGCAAGCCUGUGUCUUGCUGACUGCAGCCUCUUGUAGGUCAUCGCAGCACAUGUGUGUCCCUCUCCUGUUAUGGUUUUUGUUGAAAAUGGCUCAAGAAACCAGGUAUUGGAAAAAUUAAAGGGGAAAGGACAGCAGCACCAUUUGCAGAGCCAACCUCAGAUGAAACAAGGACCAUUCCUAUUGCUUUGUGAACAAUCAAACUGGCUUUGGAUACUGGAAUUUUACUCUAGACUGUGAUUUGAAUAUUGGACACUCUUAAGAUCAUUAAUCCCCACUGUUUGGUUCAGGUCUCUGCUGUGAAAUAGAUUAAUUAUUUCUUGUGUGCAGUCUUUAUUCAGGCACUGAACAAUGAAGGAUCGUUUGUAGCUUUCUGCUCUUUUCAGUGUAUUUUCCAUGUCUUGUUCUGUAUCUUUUUGUUAUAAAGAUUCUAUCCUCACCUGUCAUGAGACAGUUUGAUUUCAGUGAACUCUAUGACUUUAUGCCAUUUCACGUGACUUUGUACCUAGCCUAGCAUUUUUAAUGUCUGCCUGUAUCUAUAGUUGCACGCGAAGGGGUUACGUUGCUGUGAGUAUAAACCUUCUCCAGGCUGCACCACACAGACAAGCAUGGCCAUGAGAAUGAAAGGAGCCUGUAGGGAUGAAACAACACUGAGCUGAACCCUCACCCAAAGGCAGGAUGGGACCUUUUUGGAGUGUUGAAGACAUGCACACAAACUCUUUAAUUUGUUGGCGUUCUGUAUUGCGUUUUAAGCUGAGACAACAGAAAUGCCAGUAAAUAUAUAAAAAGAUUGGAAACCUCCAACCUUCUUAAAAACAACAAAAUGCUGAAAAUCUGCAUGUAAACAGUUGCUACCAAGAUUUCUAAAUGCAGUUUGGCUGUCUUGGGCCAUCCUGAUGGAGCAAGGAUUAGCAUCCAAGUACUUAAGUGGUUUUUACUCCAAUCUUUUUGAGGGACUUUUACCACCAACCCAAUCACAUUUAUUUCACACUCAACCUUUCCAAAUAAUGUUGGAAUCAGAAAGUUAUUUAUGUGACCUGCUUAAUUGAAAGAGCAUUUGCUGUCAGUGAUCAAAUAAACUGUUAUUGAUCUUCA
rnacentral:lncRNA from 1 species